rnacentral:rRNA from 1 species
UACGAAGGGGGCUAGCGUUGCUCGGAUUGACUGGGCGUAAAGGGCGCGUAGGCGGCUUGUACAGUCAGACGUGAAAUUCCUGGGCUCAACCUGGGGGCUGCGUUUGAUACGUAUGGGCUUGAGUUCGGAAGAGGGUCGUGGAAUUCCCAGUGUAGAGGUGAAAUUCGUAGAUAUUGGGAAGAACACCGGUGGCGAAGGCGGCGACCUGGUCCGAUACUGACGCUGAGGCGCGAAAGCGUGGGGGAGCAAAACAGG